rnacentral:misc_RNA from 1 species
UAGAAGAAGAGGAGAGGAGAGAGAAAGGAAAGAAGAAGAAGAGGAAAAGAAGAAAUCAAGAAAUACCUCAUUGUGGUCUCCAGUUUUCUCUAAUGUUGCCCCUGGCGUCGUGAGAGAAAGAACAAGUUAAGGCUUUUAACUAUUUGUUGUUUUAAAAGAAAAAAUUAAAGAAAAAAAUUAAAAGCUUUUGUUAUUUCUCAAAGGCGUCGCCUU